GAGGGUAUAGCUUAGUGGUAGAGUGCGUGCUUAGCAUGCAUGAGGACUUGGGUUCAAACCCCAGUACCUCCA
rnacentral:tRNA from 1 species